rnacentral:rRNA from 1 species
UUAAAUUGAAGAGUUUGAUCAUGGCUCAGAUUGAACGCUGGCGGCAGGCUUAACACAUGCAAGUCGAACGGUAGCAGGAAGGAAGCUUGCUUUCUUUGCUGACGAGUGGCGGACGGGUGAG